GAGGUGGGAGACUGUGUGUUAGGGGUGGCUGGGACAACGGGAAGAUGGAGAAUAGUUCCUGCUCCUGGAGCCCAGAAGCCUUAGUCUUCUCAUCCCUCCUCCUUCCAUCAGACUUCCUCUGAAGCCUCGGGGGCAGAGGGCAUCUGCGCCAGGGAACCUGCGGACCCGGCCGACCUGUCAGGUGCUAAAUAUCCCCCAGUGACUUCAGUCCUCUCCACUUAAGACAGUUCACCUGCUCCUGGCCUCUGCGAUUUCUGUUUUCUUUCUGAAAUGGCCGUGUGGCCAGGAAAUCUAUGUGUGUCACUCCGCCUGCUCCUAGCUCUUCCAACUUCAUCGACCAAGAACUGUUCCCAUGGGGUGGAAGUUCCAAACUGGCUUCUUAAAGAGACUUCUAAUUUCUUCCAAACUAAAUGAUAAGGACACUGAGGCUUGAGAAGCGAAGAAACUUUUCCAAGUGCCAUAGCUCCAGAGCAGUAGAGAUGGGACCAGAGCUGGGGAGCCGAGCUGCAUGCUCACUGCCACGGGCUCUGCCCGCUGCGAUGGAUACUGUGGG
rnacentral:lncRNA from 1 species